rnacentral:rRNA from 1 species
AGUGGGGAAUCUUGGACAAUGGGGGCAACCCUGAUCCAGCGACGCCGCGUGGGUGACGAAGGCCUUCGGGUCGUAAAGCCCUUUUGCCGGGGAAGAUGAUGACGGUACCCGGAGAAGAAGCACCGGCUAACUCUGUGCCAGCAGCCGCGGUAAGACAGAGGGUGCUAGCGUUGUUCGGAAUUACUGGGCGUAAAGGGCGCGUAGGCGGCCCGUUUAGUCGGGUGUGAAAUCCCAAGGCUCAACCUUGGAACUGCAUUCGAUACUGGCGGGCUGGAGACCGGAAGAGGUGGGUGGAAUACCCAGUGUAGAGGUGAAAUUCGUAGAUAUUGGGUGGAACACCGGUGGCGAAGGCGGCUCACUGGUCCGGUUCUGACGCUGAGGCGCGAAAGCGUGGGGAGCAAA